GGCUCUGUGGCGCAAUGGAUAGCGCAUUGGACUUCUAGAUAAGUAAAGGUAUUCAAAGGUUGUGGGUUCGAGUCCCACCAGAGUCG
rnacentral:tRNA from 1 species